GAGGGUAUAGCUCAAGUGGUAGAGGGCAUGCUUAGCAUGCAUGAGGUCCUGGGUUCAAUCCCUAGCACCUCCU
rnacentral:tRNA from 1 species